rnacentral:rRNA from 1 species
GACGAACGCUGGCGGUAUGCUUAACACAUGCAAGUCGAACGAGACGAGAUGGAAGGAUCCUUCGGGUGACGGAAAUCUUAGAAAGUGGCGAACGGGUGAGUAACGCGUGGGUAACCUGCCCUAUGGAAAGGAAUAGCCUCGGGAAACUGGGAGUAAUGCCUUAUAAGAUACAUUGGUCGCAUGGCAGAAGUAUUAAACGCUCCGGUGCCAUAGGAUGGACCCGCGUCCCAUUAGCUAGUUGGUGAGAUAACAGCCCACCAAGGCGACGAUGGGUAACCGGUCUGAGAGGGCGAACGGUAACACUGGAACUGAGACACGGUCCAAACUCCUACGGGAGGCAGCAGUGGGGAAUAUUGCGCAAUGGGGGAAACCCUGACGCAGCAAUACCGCGUGAGUGAAGAAGGUUUUCGGAUCGUAAAGCUCUGUUAUUGGGGAAGAAAAAAGACGGUACCCAAGAAGAAAGUCCCGGCUAACUACGUGCCAGCCGCCGCUGUAA